rnacentral:rRNA from 1 species
AUUGAACGCUGGCGGCAGGCCUAACACAUGCAAGUCGAGCGGAUCGGCGGACGGGUGCGUAUUGCCUAUGACUCUGCCUGGUCCUGGGGGAUAACGUCCGGUACCGGGCGCUAAUACCGCAUCCUAUCAGAUUCGCCUAGGUCGGAUGAGCGAGUUGGUGGGGUAGGGGCCUACCAAGGCCACGAUCCGUAACUGGUCUGAGAGGAUGAUCAGGCACACGGGAACGGAGACACGGGCCAGACGCCUACGGGAGGGAGCAGUGGGGAAUAUUGGACAAUGGGCGAAAGCCUGAUCCAGCCAUGCCGCGUGUGUGAAGAAGGUCUUCGGAUUGUAAAGCACUUUAAGUUGGGAGGCGUUACCAACAGAAGAAGCACCGGCUAACUCCGUGCCAGCAGCCGCGGUAAUUC